UGCCUGUAAUCCCAGCACUUUGGGAGGCCG
rnacentral:piRNA from 1 species